AGAGUUUGAUCCUGGCUCAGAUUGAACGCUGGCGGCACGCCUUACACAUGCAAGUCGAACGGCAGCGCGGGGGGUAACUCCUGGCGGCGAGUGGCGAACGGGUGAGUAAUAUAUCGGAACGUGCCCAAGAGUGGGGGAUAACCAGUCGAAAGAUUGGCUAAUACCGCAUACGAUCUACGGAUGAAAGUGGGGGAUUCGCAAGAACCUCAUGCUCCUGGAGCGGCCGAUAUCUGAUUAGCUAGUUGGUGGGGUAAAAGCCUACCAAGGCGACGAUCAGUAGCUGGUCUGAGAGGACGACCAGCCACACUGGGACUGAGACACGGCCCAGACUCCUACGGGAGGCAGCAGUGGGGAAUUUUGGACAAUGGGCGCAAGCCUGAUCCAGCAAUGCCGCGUGUGUGGAGAAGGCCCUCCCGUUGUAAACCACUUUUGUCGACGAAGAAACGGUGACGGCUAAUAUCCCU
rnacentral:rRNA from 1 species